UACGUAGGGUGCGAGCGUUGUCCGGAAUUAUUGGGCGUAAAGAGCUCGUAGGCGGUCUGUCGCGUCGGUCGUGAAAACUUGGGGCUUAACCCUGAGCUUGCGGUCGAUACGGGCAUGACUGGAGUUCGGCAGGGGAGACUGGAAUUCCUGGUGUAGCGGUGAAAUGCGUAGAUAUCGGGAAGAACACCAAAGGCGAAAGCGCUCUGCUGGGCCGAAACUGACACUGAGAGACGAAAGCUAGGGGAGCGAAUGGG
rnacentral:rRNA from 1 species